rnacentral:lncRNA from 7 species
AACGAACAGGGAAGGUUUGCAUGGCUUUGCAUUCUGCAAUGAAAAUGAUCUCAUUAUCCUUUCCGGAGACUCAGACAGCUACUUGAAAAAUACUUAGGAAAAAAACACAGCAGCUCUGGGGAGAGAGCCCUUCCCAAGCAGGGAGGGAAAACAGAGCAGAAGGAAACAGCGUCAGUGGCAGACAUAGGUGGGAGGCUGCCCUGCUGCAUGCCCAGCACCUGCUGGGAGUCAUCACCAAUGUGGGAGCAGGCAGAAGCACUGAGAGGCAUAGGAGUGGUGAGAGGAGGUGCGGGUCAGCCCCAGCCCUGCACAGCUGGAGGUGUUCACCAGCCCAGCCCAGAGCUCCCUGGCAGCACUCAUGUCCCGGCAGUGCCUCUCUGAGCUGUAUGCUAUCACAGCAACCACCUCCACCACUGUUACUGCAUUGUGCUUCCAUCUGCCUGUAGGCAGAGAACACACAUAGCCGCACAGGAGCUGCCACGUGUUUCUGUAAGAACUGUGUGCUGGAAAUAAGCAGAAUGCAGAAAUACUGCAGGAAGAGAAAGGAGCAAAGAAAACGCAGCACUGCUUAAGUCUGGACACAGAAUGUGAUGCUUAGGUUCUCCCUUCAGCUGUAAACCACAGGGAGAGGGAUGAUGCUCCCUCAGGGAGCUACUUCAGUGUCAGCUUUGGGGAUUUCCUCCUGCAUCAGCAGCAAUAGCAACGAAGCAAAAGAUAAGGGGAAAAGCAGCAAAUGGGGGUCUGUCAGGAGCUGGUAUAAGAACCUACAACAAGCUGUGGAGAGCAAGAUAGAAUGCAAGGCAUUCCUAGUGGGCGCAAAACUGCUCAGUUGUUUCUGCAGCACACAGAAGCAGGCUCUGUCUGAUUUCUGUCACAUUUCCCAUCUUCACAUGGAAUUUGUCUGGGCAGCUGCUGUUCCCACAAGGGGAGUUCAAAUGAAUGACUGCUUUUCAUAUUACAUAAUGCAAUUCCAAAUACUCCAGUGCAGAUGUACUAUCCCUAUUCCAAGAAUAAAUUACCAAGUUGCUCUGUCUCAUUCUGGAGCAAUCCACCAGAGGCGAAACUGAAAACAAGAUUUUUUUGUAGUUGUACCGAAGCUUUGCAGUCAAUUUUAAGCCUCUUAGACAGCAUAAUAUUGAAUGCAAGAUCCUGCUGAGGGCUAUCGACUGCAGUAUGUGCCAAGCGGCGGGGAACACCCUGUGCCAUGCCUGCAUGUGUUGGAGACUUCCCUCUGCCAGCAGCGUGACUUAGAUCAGAGAGCAGCUUCCUGGGAUUUCCCAUCAGCAUCCUUUAAGAUUGCCAUCCAGCAGAAGGGAUCUGUGCAGCCACAAGGUGAAAGGCAACAGGAAACACAUCAUCUUCAAAACACAUGGCAGGAUUAGCACAGUCUGAACACAGCACCAUGCUGUCUUCUGCUCUGGUGUAGAGACAUGCUGCCUGCUGGGACCAUGGGGAUGGAGCAGGCUAGCCCUUCAGAUGUCACUGUCCCAGGUGAGGUGUGCUUGUAAAUAAACCCGGUGUAAAUGUAAGUGCACGUUCUUGUAGCUUCAUUCACAACAUGCCUUCUCACAUAGCACCUGCUCUGAUGCUGCCAUGGUGCUUCAGGACAUCUGCCUGGUAGAAUGGAAGGAUAUACCUUAACUAUUUGUAAUUAAAGAAAAGUAGUGGUGUUUUUGUACUCCAGGACCACAACAAGCCAUGAGUUAUUCACAGCCCCUGUGUGUUAGGGCAGCAGGCAGCAUUUGGUGCUGCAGCCAUGUUUUAGCAACAUGCCUGAUGUCCUGUGCAUGCCCUGCAAUGUCUGAAUAAAAAGCAUAAUUUCUGUCC